rnacentral:lncRNA from 1 species
UGGUGAAAGUGGAGAUCCUUGUCUCACUCCAGUUCUCGGAGGAAUGCUUUCAACUUUUCUGCAUUCAGUAUGAUGUUGUCUAUGGGUUUGUUAUAUAUGGCUUUUAUUAUUUUGAGGAAUACAUCCAGAUGGCCUGAAGCAAGUGAAGAAUCACAAAAGAAGUGAAAAUGGCCGGUUCCUGCCAUAACUGAUGACAUUACCUUGUGAAAUUCCUUCUCCUGGCUCAGAAGCUCCCCAACUGAGCACCUUGUGACCCCCACCCCUGCCCACCAGGGAACAACCGCCUUUGACUGUAAUUUUCCACUACCUACCCAAAUCCUAUAAAAUGGCCCCACCCCUAUCUCCCUUCCCUGACUCUCUUUUCGGACUCAGCCUGCCUGCACCCAGGUGAUUAAAAAGUUUUAUU